rnacentral:rRNA from 1 species
UACGUAGGGGGCAAGCGUUGUCCGGAUUUAUUGGGCGUAAAGAGCGUGUAGGCGGCCAGGUAGGUCAGCUGUGAAAACUCGAGGCUUAACCUCGAGAUGUCGGCUGAAACCAUCUGGCUAGAGUCCGGAAGAGGAGAGUGGAGUUCCUGGUGUAGCGGUGAAAUGCGCAGAUAUCAGGAAGAACACCCGUGGCGAAGGCGGCUCUCUGGUACGUGACUGACGCUGAGACGCGAAAGCGUGGGGAGCAAACAGG